rnacentral:rRNA from 1 species
GGACGAACGCUGGCGGCGUGCCUAAUACAUGCAAGUUGAGCGAUGAAGAUUGGUUCUUGCACCAAUUUGAAGAGCAGCGAACGGGUGAGUAACGCGUGGGGAAUCUGCCUUUGAGCGGGGGACAACAUUUGGAAACGAAUGCUAAUACCGCAUAACAACUUUAAACAUAAGUUUUAAGUUUGAAAGAUGCAAUUGCAUCACUCAAAGAUGAUCCCGCGUUGUAUUAGCUAGUUGGUGAGGUAAAGGCUCACCAAGGCGAUGAUACAUAGCCGACCUGAGAGGGUGAGCGGCCACAUUGGGACGGAGACACGGCCCAAACUCCUACGGGAGGCAGCAGGAGGGAAUCUUCGGCAAUGGACGAAAGUCUGACCGAGCAACGCCGCGUGAGUGAAGAAGGUUGUCGGAUCGUAAGACUCAGUUGGUAGAGAAGAACGUUGGUGAGAGUGGAAAGCUCAUCAAGUGACGGUAACUACCCAGAAAGGGACGGCUAACUACGUG